GCGCCUGUAGCUCAGUGGAUAAGAGCAACGGACUUCGGAUCCGUGGGCCGGGGGUUCGAAUCCCUCCAGGCGCACCA
rnacentral:tRNA from 1 species